GACGAACGCUGGCGGCGUGCUUAACACAUGCAAGUCGAACGGAAAGGCCCUGCGUUUGUGGGGUGCUCGAGUGGCGAACGGGUGAGUAACACGUGAGUAACCUGCCCUUGACUUUGGGAUAACUUCAGGAAACUGGGGCUAAUACCGGAUAGGAGCUCCUGCUGCAUGGUGGGGGUUGGAAAGUUUCGGCGGUUGGGGAUGGACUCGCGGCUUAGUGGCUUGUUGGUGGGGUAGUGGCUUACCAAGGCUUUGACGGGUAGCCGGCCUGAGAGGGUGACCGGCCACAUUGGGACUGAGAUACGGCCCAGACUCCUACGGGAGGCAGCAGUGGGGAAUAUUGCACAAUGGGCGGAAGCCUGAUGCAGCAACGCCGCGUGCGGGAUGACGGCCUUCGGGUUGUAAACCGCUUUCGCCUGUGACGAAGCGUGAGUGACGGUAAUGGGUAAAGAAGCACCGGCUAACUACGUG
rnacentral:rRNA from 1 species